GACGAACGCUGGCGGCGUGCUUAACACAUGCAAGUCGAACGGAAAGGCCCUGCUUUUGUGGGGUGCUCGAGUGGCGAACGGGUGAGUAACACGUGAGUAACCUGCCCUUGACUUUGGGAUAACUUCAGGAAACUGGGGCUAAUACCGGAUAGGAGCUCCUGCUGCAUGGUGGGGGUUGGAAAGUUUCGGCGGUUGGGGAUGGACUCGCGGCUUAUCAGCUUGUUGGUGGGGUAGUGGCUUACCAAGGCUUUGACGGGUAGCCGGCCUGAGAGGGUGACCGGCCACAUUGGGACUGAGAUACGGCCCAGACUCCUACGGGAGGCAGCAGUGGGGAAUAUUGCACAAUGGGCGGAAGCCUGAUGCAGCAACGCCGCGUGCGGGAUGACGGCCUUCGGGUGGUAAACCGCUUUCGCCUGUGACGAAGCGUGAGGGACGGGAAUGGGGAAAGAAGCACCGGCUAACUACGG
rnacentral:rRNA from 1 species